AGUGAACGCUGGCGGUAGGCCUAACACAUGCAAGUCGAACGGCAGCACAGUAAGAGCUUGCUCUUCCGGGUGGCGAGUGGCGUACGGGUGAGGAAUACAUCGGACUCUACUUUUUCGUGGGGGAUAACGUAGGGAAACUUACGCUAAUACCGCAUACGCCCUACGGGUGAAAGCAGGGGAUCUUCGGACCUUGCGCGAUUGAAUGAGCCGAUGUCGGAUUAGCUAGUUGGCGGGGUAAAGGCCCACCAAGGCGACGAUCCGUAGCUGGUCUGAGAGAAUGAUCGGCCACACUGGAACUGAGACACGGUCCAGACUCCUACGGGAGGCAGCAGUGGGGAAUAUUGGACAAUGGGCGCAAGCCUGAUCCAGCCAUACCGCGUGGGUGAAGAAGGCCUUCGGGUUGUAAAGCCCUUUUGUUGGGAAAGAAAAGCAGCAGGUUAAUACCCCGCUGUUCUGACGGUACCCAAAGAAUAAGCACCGGCUAACUUCGUG
rnacentral:rRNA from 1 species